CUGGAAGAUAUUCCUGAUAAGUUAAAGAAGUACUACCAUUUGAGAGUCCUCAGGAAGAGGAGGCUGGCCGUUGGACUUUUCAGGAGAUGGCCACACAUAGGCUCUAAGAUAGGCUGUACAACUUCAGGCAGUCUGCCAUAAAGUUUUCUAGUUUCGAGUCACCAUCGAACUGAAAGUCUUUUAUAGAUCACUGGAUGUGGGGGGAUAUAUGGGAGGCCCUCUGUGACCAGUGGAGCAGUGAGGACUACUCUAGUAGAUGGCAGAGGGUCUGACAGAAUCGGAUCAUCCAGCAAGAUCCAAUCAAGUACACCGGCGGCUCUGUUGGCACAUAUAUUAUAGUAGAUAGAUUAGUAAAAAAUUUAAACUUAUAUUAAUCUCAUAUUUAGUUGAUCAUAUAUAUGUUUCUAUUAAUUUAAUUUUAUUAUUUAUUAUAGAUACGGCAGCUGGAUUAUGUAACAGGGCAGCUGUAAUUGUGGGAGGUCAUACAUCAGUUUAGGAGGAUUGAUGAUUACUUAGAUUCUAGAUCCAGACAGAUUGCGACGGAUUAUAUGGAGUACGUCGUAGCACAACACAGUGAGGACCUAUUCUCUCAGCCCCUCUUUGACCUCGAAAGAUGGCUCAGAGCCACCGGAGGGGUGAGUAAGAGCCAGAUCAUAGGAUUCGGGCAUAGCUUCAACCUUCCAACAACUCACUGAUCUUCAACAUCCUUCUUUCAGGCAUCGAUGACCCAGACAUGAGGUGAUGCACAUAUUGAGGAGGUCGUACAUAGGCUUUUUUACUAGCAACCUCAGAGCUUUUGGGAUGCCGUUCACGAGACUGUUGUUGAGAUUCUUUGAGAUCCAUAUCUAGGCGAUCAGCUGAGCUCAUUGUCACAGCCAUCACUAGCAAGUAAGUCAAGUAGUAUUAAUAAUUUUUUUAAUUUUAAAUUUUUAUAUUUAAAAGCUUCACAUAGUUGACUUGAGUUAGGGGA